rnacentral:rRNA from 1 species
AACGAACGCUGGCGGCAUGCCUAACACAUGCAAGUCGAACGAGACCUUCGGGUCUAGUGGCGCACGGGUGCGUAACGCGUGGGAACCUGCCCUUAGGUUCGGAAUAACUCCCCGAAAGGGGUGCUAAUACCGGAUAAUGUCUUCGGACCAAAGAUUUAUCGCCUUUGGAUGGGCCCGCGUUGGAUUAGCUAGUUGGUAGGGUAAAAGCCUACCAAGGCGACGAUCCAUAGCUGGUCUGAGAGGAUGAUCAGCCACACUGGGACUGAGACACGGCCCAGACUCCUUCGGGAGGCAGCAGUGGGGAAUAUUGGACAAUGGGCGAAAGCCUGAUCCAGCAAUGCCGCGUGAGUGAUGAAGGCCUUAGGGUUGUAAAGCUCUUUUACCCGGGAUGAUAAUGACAGUACCGGGAGAAUAAGCUCCGGCUAACUCCGUG